GACGUAGGGGGCGAGCGUUAUCCGGAUUCACUGGGCGUAAAGGGCGCGUAGGCGGUUACGAAAGUCCGAUGUGAAAAGUCACGGCUCAACUGUGAUCGUGCAUCGGAUACUUCGUUGACUUGAGGUCGGUAGAGGCAAGUGGAACUAGCGGUGUAGCGGUGAAAUGCGCAGAUAUCGCUAGGAACGCCGGUGGCGAAGGCGAUUUGCUGGGCCGUACCUGACGCUGAUGCGCGAAAGCUAGGGGAGCGAACCGG
rnacentral:rRNA from 1 species